rnacentral:rRNA from 1 species
UGUUUCGGCUAGGGGGCCAUCCCGGCUUACCAACCCGAUGCAAACUGCGAAUACCGGAGAAUGUUAUCACGGGAGACACACGGCGGGUGCUAACGUCCGUCGUGAAGAGGGAAACAACCCAGACCGCCAGCUAAGGUCCCAAAGUCAUGGUUAAGUGGGAAACGAUGUGGGAAGGCCCAGACAGCCAGGAUGUUGGCUUAGAAGCAGCCAUCAUUUAAAGAAAGCGUAAUAGCUCACUGGUCGAGUCGGCCUGCGCGGAAGAUGUAACGGGGCUAAACCAUGCACCGAAGCUGCGGCAGCGACACUGUGUGUUGUUGGGUAGGGGAGCGUUCUGUAAGCCUGCGAAGGUGUCCCGUGAGGGAUGCUGGAGGUAUCAGAAGUGCGAAUGCUGACAUAAGUAACGAUA